CUGCAGUAAUUCUAAUAUAGCUCUAAUGAUUAAAAGAAAAAAAAAAACACCCUGGAUAGGAGUGAUUGUGUAUUAAAUGUUUUCCUAACUCUGUUAGGAUAUUUUCAGCUACAUAUUCAAAGUAACAAAAUCCCAGACUGAAAUAGCUUCCACAAUAAAGAAACGUAUUAUCUUAUAUAACAGGAAGAAGAGAGGUAGUGCAGGCUUCAUAUUUCAGCACUUCAGCAACUCAGCAAUGUCAUCAGGAACCCAGGAGCUUUCAGUCUCUGAUCUGCAUUCUCUCACAUAGCUGGUUCUCGUGGCAGCUACACUGCCCAAAUUCUCCAUCACAAAAUCCUGUCUAUCCAAGCUAUCGAAGACGGAGUUGUCAC
rnacentral:lncRNA from 1 species